CGGAGAGUUUGAUCCUGGCUCAGAACGAACGCUGGCGGCAGGCCUCAUACAUGCAAGUCGAACGAUUAAAGCUCCUUCGGGAGUGUAUAAAGUGGCGAACGGGUGAGUAACAGGUGGAUAAUCUACCUCCCGGUGGGGGAUAACGGCUGGAAACGGCCGCUAAUACCGCAUACGGUUGGUACAUUGCGAUGUACCAAAGAAAGGCGCUUCAAAGCACCGCCGAGAGAUGAGUCCGCCCCCCAUUAGCUAGUUGGUGAGAUAAUAGCUCACCAAGGCUAUGAUGGGUAGCCGAACUGAGAGGUUGAUCGGCCACACUGGAACUGAGACACGGUCCAGACACCUACGGGUGGCAGCAGUAGGGAAUAUUGGGCAAUGGGCGAAAGCCUGACCCAGCCAUGCCGCGUGA
rnacentral:rRNA from 1 species